rnacentral:ncRNA from 12 species
GCAUAACAGGUCUGUGGUUGAAAGUCGAUGCCAGUCGCAGGCGAAGCGAUCCACGUAACCCGUUCAAGGAACGGUGAGCAUGGUGCGGUUUAGAAGUAAGUCCUGCCGGGAAAACCGAGAGGGUGAGUCGUGAGAGGCAGUUGCCGGGUAGCAAAAACUCCAGCAGGCGGGUGUGGGGUCAAAGACCAGGUCAGCUGUUUAUGC